CCUACGGGAGGCAGCAGUGAGGAAUAUUGGACAAUGGACGAGAGCCUGAACCAGCCAAGUAGCGUGAAGGAUGACUGCCCUAUGGGUUGUAAACUUCUUUUAUAUGGGAAUAAAAUGUUUCACGUGUGGGAUUUUGUAUGUACCAUAUGAAUAAGGAUCGGCUAACUCCGGGCCAGCAGCCGCGGUAAUACGGAGGAUCCGAGCGUUAUCCGGAUUUAUUGGGUUUAAAGGGAGCGUAGGUGGAUUGAUAAGUCAGUUGUGAAAGUUUGCGGCUCAACCGUAGAAUUGCAGUUGAGACUGGCAGUCUUGAGUACAGUAGAGGUGGGCGGAAUUCGGGGUGUAGCGGUGAAAUGCGUAGAUAUCACGAAGAACUCCGAUGGCGAAGGCAGCUCACUGGACUGCAACUGACACUGAGGCUCGAAAGUGUGGGGAGCAAACAGGAUUAGAUACCCCUGUAGUC
rnacentral:rRNA from 1 species